rnacentral:rRNA from 1 species
AGCGAACGCUGGCGGCGUGCCUAACACAUGCAAGUCGAACGUGAAAGUAGCAAUACGAGUAAAGUGGCGUACGGGUGAGUAACACGUGGAUAAUCUACCUUAAAGUUUGGAAUAACCGGCCGAAAGGCUGGCUAAUACUGAAUAGAUCAAAUGCAAUAUAAAGUUGCGAUUGGAAAAGGGAGCCUGCAAGGGCCUUCGCUUUAAGAUGAGUCUGCGUCCCAUUAGCUAGUUGGUAGGGUAAAGGCCUACCAAGGCGAUGAUGGGUAGCUGGUCUGAGAGGAUGAUCAGCCACACUGGAACUGAAACACGGUCCAGACUCCUACGGGAGGCAGCAGUGGGGAAUUUUGCGCAAUGGACGAAAGUCUGACGCAGCCACGCCGCGUGAGUGAAGAAGGCCUUCGGGUUGUAAAGCUCUGUCGGAGGGGACAAAAACCUCCUUGGUUAAUAGCCUUGGAGCUUGAUGGUACCCUUUAAGGAAGCACCGGCUAACUUCGUG